rnacentral:tRNA from 1 species
GCCUGGUGGGCUCAGUCGGUAGAGCAUGUGACUCUUGAUCUCAGAACUGUGAGUUCAAGCCCCACAUUGGGUG